GUGUUCCAGUUGUGCCGCCAGGCGCAGCGCUGGGUAGCUAUGUUCGGACCGGAUAACCGCUGAAAGCAUCUAAGCGGGAAACCGACCUCAAGAUUAGAUCUCCCGGGCCUUCGGGUCCCUAAAGGCCCCUCGAAGAUCACGAGGUUGAUAGGCCAGGUGUGUAAGCGCAGUAAUGCGUUCAGCUAACUGGUACUAAUAGGCCGUGCGGCUUGACCAUAUU
rnacentral:rRNA from 1 species